AUGAACGCUGGCGGCGUGCCUCAUACCUGCCAGUCGCGCGAACAGACGAGGAGCUUGCUCCUCUGACGUUAGCGGCGGACGGGUGAGUAACACGUGGAUAACCUACCUAUAAGACUGGGAUAACUUCGGGAAACCGGAGCUAAUACCGGAUAAUAUAUUGAACCGCAUGGUUCAAUAGUGAAAGACGGUUUUGCUGUCACUUAUAGAUGGAUCCGCGCCGCAUUAGCUAGUUGGUAAGGUAACGGCUUACCAAGGCGACGAUGCGUAGCCGACCUGAGAGGGUGAUCGGCCACACUGGAACUGAGACACGGUCCAGACUCCUACGGGAGGCAGCAGUAGGGAAUCUUCCGCAAUGGGCGAAGGCCUGACGGAGCAACGCCGCGUGAGUGAUGAAGGUCUUCGGAUCGUAAAACUCUGUUAUUAGGGAAGAACAAAUGUGUAAGUAACUAUGCACGUCUUGACGGUACCUAAUCAGAAAGCCACGGCUAACUACGUG
rnacentral:rRNA from 1 species